rnacentral:tRNA from 1 species
AGGAGCAUAGCUCAACUGGUAGAGCGUCGGUCUCCAAAACCGAAGGUUGGGGGUUCGAUCCCCUCUGCUCCUGCCA